rnacentral:rRNA from 1 species
UACGAAGGGGGCUAGCGUUGCUCGGAAUCACUGGGCGUAAAGGGUGCGUAGGCGGGUUUUUAAGUCAGGGGUGAAAUCCUGGAGCUCAACUCCAGAACUGCCUUUGAUACUGAGGAUCUUGAGUCCGGGAGAGGUGAGUGGAACUGCGAGUGUAGAGGUGAAAUUCGUAGAUAUUCGCAAGAACACCAGUGGCGAAGGCGGCUCACUGGCCCGGUACUGACGCUGAGGCACGAAAGCGUGGGGAGCAAACAGG